rnacentral:lncRNA from 1 species
CAUAGGCAUUGGAAUUGAUUCCAAGGAAUGUAUAUGGUUAACCAUGUGACCAAGCUAAAGUGUGGUCGGGAGACAAUGAUUAUGACAGGGACCUAGGGGUAGUAGAGAAAGAAACAUCAAUAUUGAAUAAAUUAAUGAAAAUCUUAGUAAAGAAUCACUAAUGUUGUGUUCGUUUCCAUGUAUUUACUGUUACAAGAAAGGAAAUGCGGGUGAUUGUAUGUUCGUAUUUGAUGAUUUACGGGCGAUGAUUUGCAAGAUAGCUAAAAUAUUGAUCUUCGCUAUUGAGAGAGGAUUUGCGAGGAUUUACGAGUGAAGUCUAUCAAUGAUAGAUACUUUUACAAAAAUGUCCAUAUAUUAUUUCACAUUGCAGGUGUAUAAAUUUGUGAUAUUGGUUCUAUGUAGUUCAUUAACAUUUUUUUUUCUUUAAAUUUAAUUUAAACUAAUU